rnacentral:tRNA from 1 species
GCCUUUGUAGUGCAAGGGUCAGCACACUCGAUGGGUAAUCGAGAGGUCCAAGGUUCGAGUCCCGGCGAGAGCA